UCCGCAUUUUUCUCCUCUUUCUCUUUCUCUUUCUUCUUUUUUUUUUUUUUUUUUUCCCGUGCGUAUCCCUGU